GAACUGGGCUUGAGCAGUGGGAAGGAUUUGGAGAGCGGAGGAAUGAAGGAGAGCAGAGAGGAGAGGCUUGGAGGUGAUGAGAUGAGAGGACAGCUGUUCUCCCCUCACUCAAGGUAGCACUCUGAGGUGUCCAGGAGGCGAUCCACAAAUCAUCCCACUGAGUGUGCUUACAGCCGGUUUCUCCCACCUCAGCCCUGCUGCGAGGAAGGACUAAGAAAAACAGCCUGCAUGGGCCGGGCUUGGAUUUCAAGUUCUCAGGUCAUUUCUUCACCCAUGAUGCGCCUUUACUUCUCUCUUUUCCUCCUGAGUCACCACUUUGUGGCCACGGAGACAAUCAGGCAAGGCUUCUUGGAGGAGGUGGUGAUCGUGUUGGGCUUUGAAGGAUAGGAAGGAUUUCCGCCGGGCGCGAUGGCUCAUGCCUGUAAUCCCAGCACUUUGGGAGGCUGAGGCGGGCAGAUCACGAGGUCAGGAGAUCAAGGCCAUCCUGGCUAACAUGGUG
rnacentral:lncRNA from 1 species